GCGGAAAUAGCUCAGUUGGUAGAGCACGAUCUUGCCAAGGUCAAGGCCACGAGUUCGAACCUCGUUUUCCGCU
rnacentral:tRNA from 1 species